rnacentral:rRNA from 1 species
UACGUAGGUGGCGAGCGUUGUCCGGAAUUACUGGGUGUAAAGGGCGCGUAGGCGGGUAUGCAAGUUGGAUGUGAAAUUCCGGGGCUUAACUCCGGAUUGUCAUCUAAAACUGUGUAUCUUGAGUGUCAGAGGGGAAAGUGGAAUUCCUAGUGGAGUGGUAAAAUGCGUAGAUAUUAGGAGGAACACCAGUGGCGAAGGCGACUUACUGGACUGUAACUGACGCUGAGUCACGAAAGCGUGGGUAGCAAACAGGAUUAGAUACCCGUGUAGUCCCUGAG